GUCGCCCACGACGCCUGCUCUCGCCAUCGCCGUGCCGAAACUCGUCGUCGUGCUCUCCGCUGCCAGGCUCGACGCCAAGCAGACGGUCCUCGUCGCUGAGAAGCUCGGCGAGGUCGGGUUUGACCUUCUGAAGGAAUCGACGACGGACUGAAAACUGCUAUCUGAGACUGAAAACUGUUAUCUGCUAUUGUGCAGUCAUAACCAUAAAAGUUGUAACAUUAGUGCCCCCAGUAGACUUUGUAUUGGGGGCCAAUGAUGACUGCUUUAUUUAUUGACGGAC
rnacentral:lncRNA from 1 species